rnacentral:lncRNA from 1 species
CAUAAACAAACAACCAUAGCCCAUGUCAAAAUAAUUGACUCAAAAUAUUAUACAUCUUACAAAAUAUAUGGCCACCUGAAGCAUAUACAUUUCCUUUUUGAACAAUAUCAGAGUGUGAUCAUACUUCUCUUACAAAGAAACCACAUGCUAGAUAAGUGAACUUUUAACAAUAUUUCAAAGGAUUUAGGGCCAUUCAACUCUAUAAGUGAAAACGUAAGAAGCUGCAUUUGUCUCUAAGGUAGGUACAACUAAUUUUAUUUCUGCAACAAUCCAAAUUGGAGUGGGAAACUGAGUAGUAAUGAAACAUCACUUGCAUUGUGUGACACAUAUGAAACUUAACACACAAAAAAUUAAGGAAUCUUGACUACUGAAAUAAUAUGGUAUGAAGACAGAUAAUAUGCUUAUUUUCUAAAACUCUUUAUCUCAAUUGUUGCCAACUGUUUAAUGACUCAGAAUUGGAAAAUUGUGAGCCUCACAUAAACUCAAUUUUACAAACAGAAUAUAAAGGAAAUUGUUUUAUGCAUAAUGGGUAUCUAUCUAUCUAUCAUCUAUCUAUCUAUCUAUCUAUCUAUCUAUCAUCUAUCUAUGUCAUUAUACCUGACUUUUUUUACCUUUUUAUUUAAAUAGUCAAACUCUGCCACAACCCACUUCCAUUCAGGCAUUCUUUCUUUUUCUUUCUCAUGUUUGGCCAUGGUGGUAAGGUUAUCAGUAAAAUAGUAAGAUGUUUACUUAAAACAAUUAAAGACAAGUCAUCCCAUUUUUCAGUGUUUUCCAAUGUCUAUCUAUUUUAAGUGGAUAGCUGUUUUUCACAUAUAGAAUAAAGCUAAUGUUAUUUGCUUGAACUUUCCAAGAGAAAGGAUAAUAAGAGAUGAUUCAGAAUAUUUUUUUCUAGGCUUUGUUGUUUUCCCAUUUGAUCUGAGUUUAUUUUAUCCUGACCUGACAACCUCAUAGAUUCUUUCAAAGUCUACCAGAACAGAGGAAAAUAUCCCUUAAAAUAUUUUGAUAUUGUGUUUCUCUGAAAGACCUUUUCUUUUUUUAAGCUUUUUUUUUUUUUUUUUGAUUCAUCAUCAAUCUAAGGAAUAAUCUAAGUUCAUCUUUGGUGGCAGGAAUUGCUAGUUUAUUCAUUUAUUUAUUUAGAUGUUGGUUUCAUUACUUCUCAUUUUUCCUGUAAACAAUGGCAGGGUAUUGCUUUUUCACUAAGUGGACAUUCCAAAAACAUCUGUUUUCUAACUGGAUCAUCAAUAUGUUAAUUCUUCCAAAUAGAUUUUGAAAGUAUUCUCUGAUGUACCCAGUCAGUGUAAUCAUUUUCAUGAUGAUCCUUCAAGAUAAUCUAUUUUAUCCCUGUUUUCUAAUUAAAACACUUUGCCUGAGAAUUUAGGGCUUGUGAGUUCAAAGAUGAAAAAAUUGAUUACUAGAUUUAUUUUCAUUGUUAUUUUGAAAGCAAUGCACCUCUCAAACCCUUAUACAUGUUCCAUAAUGCAGAAGUUCUUCUUAAAGAUGCUAUAGCCUAAUAUAAAAACUAUGUGGACAAGUAUGUGAAAUAUGUACUACAUAUAUCACAUUAUUCAUAAAUAAUAACCCAAUCAAAAUUGGUUGUGCAUUAACUUGGAAAUUGCCAUCUCUGAGCACACAAACUCCAUUUUUCUACUUUCUUAGAAAGAAAAAAAUGAUGAGAAAAUUGAGUAACGUUCCAGAAAUCCAAAGGGAUAUUGAACUUUUUUUUUUUUUUUAAUGAAGGACAAGCUAUUUUUUCACACUCUGGAAGCAUCCAUAAGCAUACUAACAAAAUAUUGGUAGAUCGCUUAUAACCGCGAUAUCAUUUUAAGAAAACUAGCUCAAUACUUGACAACUGCAAAUUAAUUAGGUCAAUGAUAUAAAUUUAAAGUAUAAGUUACCUUGUAAUUCAUAUUUUUCUCAUCUUCAUACUUCUCCAUCUUUUUAAGACUCGGGACUAAUCAGGACAAAUAAUUCAGAUUAUUAUUAGAAAUUAUUGUAAGUUCUAUGCCUUUGGGAAAUUGUUAUUUAUUUAAACAAAUUAGAUGAUCAGUGUAGCUCUUCCAAUUACUUGUGAACUACGUGGAAGGAAGAGAGGCUCACAAGCUGUUUUAAUUAGUAACAACAAUAAGGGAUUCUACAGCCCUAGAAUGAAUGCUAAAAAGAGAUUUGGGGGCACAAAUAUAGAUCCAUUCAAAUGGGUUUGACUCUGGAUCUGGUAAGCAAUGAGAGAAGAAAAUCUGGGAAAUAGGAGAAAAACAGUCCUGUAGAUGAGAUAGCCUAGUGAGUGAUAAGAGCAGUGGCUGAGGAAAGUGAUCCUUCUCUGCAGUGUUACAGGAAGCUCUGUCAUCUCUAACUCUGGGUUUUCCAAUGUUUCCUAUAUGGAAGCACUUUAUAUUUCUUUGAAAUUAUUAUAUUGCCACUGAGUAAUGGAAAUCCCUAACUACUGUGCAGUAAAUUAGUUAGAGGGGAUUAGAUAACAAUGCUAGUCACUGAUGUGGGUAGAGGUCCAUGCAAGAUGAGAAUUCAGAGGGUGAAAAUUGCUGACAGACACAUAAUCAAAAGAUUGUAUAUUAGUUUAAUAUUACACUGUAAUGAAUUUUCACAAAUGUAGUGGCUUCAGAGAACACAAACUUAUAUUACACUUCUGGAGAUCAGAAGUCCAAAGUGGGUCUUGCGGGACUACAAUCAAUGUAUUGUCAGGACUGUGUUCCUUCUAAAAUUUCUAGGAGAAUAUUUGUUUCUUUGCCUUUUAUACUUCCUAGAGACCACUUGCAUCCCUUGGCUCAAAGCCCUUCCCUCCAUUUUCAAAGCCAGCAGUAUAGCAUCAUCAAAUAUCCCUAAUUAUGACCUCUUCCUCUACCUUGCAAUUACACUGGGAUAACCUAGAAUCUAAAGUCAGCUGAUUAGUAAUGUGAUUCUAUUUACAACUUUAAUUCCUUUUUCCAUAUGAUCUAACAUAUUUAUAGCUUCCUGGAAUUAUCACAUAUGUAUAUUAUGUAUCACACAUGUAUCACAAAUGUAGCAUUAUUCUGCUACAGCCUGGAAAACAAUGGUGGAAUGAGAUCAAUUAUGAUACCUUCACCCUGGGUAAGGAAAGCAUUUGAAAAAUAGAGGAGGCAUUUUGGAAAAUAUCAUGAAGUAAAUACUGCAUGGAAACAAUAGUGUUACCAGGAGAACAAAAGAGACAAAUUUGAGGGUGCAAACAACCGGGGACUCAAGGAGGAUUGUGCAUUAAAAUCAGUGAAAAAGGUAAAAGUGUGUGCAUGGUGUUAGGUAAAAAUGAUAGAAUUUGGUAAAUAAUUUUUUGAGAAUAACAUUACAAGCAAAUUGAAAGUUAAUAGAAUUCUUCAAAUUAGAGUUUUGAGUAUAAAAAUUUUGCUUUCCACUUAUUUUAUAGUUAUAUUAUUUCAUUUUAUGAUAGCAUAGUCUUUAUUAGAGAUUCUUACCUAGAUAAUAUAGGGCAUUUAACGAGCAUUUAAUCUGGGCCCUGAAAAUUCAGCAUUGAGGUUUUCAAAGGAAAAGUCUGGAUAACCAGAGCCUUACAAACAAAAACAAAAGCAAAAAAACAAACACACAAAAAAACAAUCAAAAACCACCUCAGCUCUAGUUCUUUCCAAUGAGUUUCAGGUGGAGGGAAAAGCCCUAGUUUCCAUUUUAAAGCUGGAUCUCUGAGAAUGAUUACGGUUUCAAGUGAAUAUCACAAGUCAUGAAAAAAUCGUUGGCUGGAAAACAAUCUGGAAAUAGCAACAGCAGUAAAAGUAGAUAUGCUCUAGAGAGUGUAUGUCAUUAAAUUAUUCAACAUCUUAAUUACAUUUCCUUUCUCUAUCCGAGAGUCUACUAGGAAAUAUCCUGCGACUGUUGUCAUUGCUUCCUAAUGAUUAAAAUGUCAAAAUAGAUAUUUUCUGUGCUGUAUUUUCUGAGCUGUUUUUUAUGUGUGUGUGUGUGUGUGUGUGUGUGUGUUAUAAUGAGGUACACAAGUGUCAUAUCAGCUAAAAUGUGAAAUAUCCAAAAGCACUAAGUUCUGAUAUACAAAUAUUUGGCCCUGAAAUCUAAAACUGAGAGAUAUUAAAGGGGUUGUUGUGAUCAUUUCUUUAAAGUUCCUGGAACAGCAUAUGCUCUUUUGUCUGCUGUCAGGAGUUCCUGUCAUGGUGCAGCGGAAACAAAUCCGACUGGGAACCAUGAGGUUGCAGGUUAGAUCCCUGGCCUCACUCAGUGGGUUAAGGAUCGGCAUUGCUCUGAGCUGUUGUGUAGGUUGCAGACACAGCUCAGAUCUGGCAUUGCUGUGGCUGUGGUGUAGGCAGGCAGCAAGAGCUCUGAUUAGAUCCCUAGUCUGGGAACCUCC